CCUACGUGAGGCAGCAGUGGGGAAUAUUGCACAAUGGGGGAAACCCUGAUGCAGCAACGCCGCGUGGGUGAAGGAGCGUUUCGGCGCGUAAAGCCCUGUCAGCGGGGAAGAAGAAAGACGGUACCCGACCAAGAAGCCCCGGCUAACUACGUGCCAGCAGCCGCGGUAAUACGUAGGGGGCGAGCGUUAUCCGGAAUUACUGGGUGUAAAGGGAGCGUAGACGGCGAGGCAAGUCUGAAGUGAAAGGCGGGGGCCCAACCCCUGGACUGCUUUGGAAACUGUAUGGCUGGAGUGCAGGAGAGGUAAGUGGAAUUCCUAGUGUAGCGGUGAAAUGCGUAGAUAUUAGGAGGAACACCAGUGGCGAAGGCGGCUUACUGGACUGUAACUGACGUUGAGGCUCGAAAGCGUGGGGAGCAAACAGGAUUAGAUACCCGGGUAGUC
rnacentral:rRNA from 1 species